GGGUGAUUUUUGAGUAUGUUGUUUACACAGAUCAGAGCGUGUAGGGGGGUGUACCUUAUGUAUUUGGGGUACAUCUAGAACUAGGGGAAAAUUGUGUACCGUUUAAUUAUGUUAAAUGUUUAUCUGAGGGGAGGAGAUGUGUGGGUUGUACCUUGUACCCUAUUGGUUAUUGUAAUAAUUAUGGUGGGUGUCUCCCUUGCAUGGGAGAAUUGCUUAAAAGGAGG